UACGAAGGGGGCUAGCGUUGCUCGGAAUCACUGGGCGUAAAGCGCACGUAGGCGGAUCUUUAAGUCAGGGGUGAAAUCCUGGAGCUCAACUCCAGAACUGCCUUUGAUACUGGGGAUCUCGAGUCCGGGAAGAGGUGAGUGGAACUCCGAGUGUAGAGGUGAAAUUCGUAGAUAUUCGGAAGAACACCAGUGGCGAAGGCGGCUCACUGGUCCGGUACUGACGCUGAGGUGCGAAAGCGUGGGGAGCAAACAGGG
rnacentral:rRNA from 1 species